GCUUUGGUGGCCUAGUGGUUAGAGCAUCUGCCUCAGAUGUGGUAGGUCAUGGGUUCGAUCCCCGGUUGAGUCA